UGUAUUAUAUAUAAUGCCGAGAUAAAUUAUGAAUGGACUGAUAAGUAAUUAAUUUUUAUGAAUUUGUAUAUGUAUGCAUACAUAUAUAUGUAUUUGUAUGUAUAUAUGAUAUAUAAUUUAAAUUUGAUAUAAUUAUUUUAGAUAAUGAUAAUUUAUGUAUGAUUUUUAUUGAAUAAUUUGUUCACAAAGCAUUUGCUUAGCAGCCCAUUUACUAGAAAUAUUUAUAUACUACUAUGUAUUUAGGAUAAACAAAUGUGUAUGUCUCAGCGGUAUCGAUCUAGUAAUUUAAAAAAAAAUAUGUAUUAUUAAUUAAUCCACGAAUAACGGUGCGACCUCCUAUUGAUCAUAUCUAUCAUUCGACUCGAUUCGAUCGAUAAAUGAUGUUUUCAUAUCGAUUUUAUAAGUUGAGAAAAAAAUCGAUAAAAAUAUUUAUUGGUCGAAUCGUGAGUUUGUAAUCGCUCACAAUGCAACACCGUGUCUCUCGUACAAAUUGCGGUAGAAUUUUCAUUAUUUAACCAUCUACGACAAUAUCGAGAAUCAUUUAAUCUUAUUUCCAAAUUAUUUCGAGGAGUAAAGGGAAAAAAAUCGCAAAUAUGUAAUGAAUUAUCAAGAAGUUCAGAAAAUUAAUCAUUGAAGAUUAGAUUAAUUCUCGAAUCGUCGAGAUGGUUCUAGAUUAGUUACGUAAUUUUGCAUUACUCUUAAUAUCGUAAGUUAGCAUGUAAACAAUUAAUUACCGACGAGGAAAAAGAAUAUCGCAUAAGUAAAAAUACCGGUAGUUCGAUUUCCAUUCAUGGGAUAUUAUCGUAUCAUCCAGAUAUUUCCGAUUAUGAAAGGAAUCUCUCAGUGCUUUCAACUGUGAUUUUGUCUAAUGUCCUCCAUUUAUUAAUUUAUUAAUCUUUUUGCGAGCUACCGGGUAUUCGAAAAAAAAUAUCGGUCGUGUCUAACGAAGAAAGACGACGUUACUCGUACGUAUCAAAACAAACAAAGAAAUAUUCUCAUAUAUAAGUACCUCGAAUUCUGAUGGACAAUUGCUGUAGAAUCUCGUUUAACGUCCGCCAGAUAAUGUUUUUUUUAUUCUUCAUUUAGAAGAUAUAUAUCUUCGUUUAUUCGCUAGUUUUUUUCUUUUUUUACAUCGUGUAUAAAUUAUAUAGAAAUUUAAUAUUUUUCUUUUCCUUUUCCUUUUUAAUCAUUUUUCAUCAUAUUAUGUCGAUAAAACAAGAAACAGAAUGUUUUUUUAUUGGUCAAUUAUAGAGAGGGAAAGUGAUGACGCAAAUAUUAAACCAUUCCACUUUUUCGUGUAAAUGUAUAUUGUUGUUUCAUUUUUCGUUUAUGAUUUAAGUGCAAGUGGAAGUUGGACACUCUGAGAGGCGUUUGUAGUUACUAAAUUGCAUAGGAAUAACUACUAGUUAUAAAAUCUAGUAAUUAGCUCUCUAUAUUUUUACUUAUAAUUAUAUUACUUUUCAGUGCAUAAAUAAUAUGUUGAUUUAAUUAUUUUUAUUAAUCGAAUGAAAUUUUUGUUUUAGAACAAAUUUAAAUGAAAAUUCACAAUUUUGUUUUUUUUUUUUUUUAAUAAAAAAUGUUAUUUUACAUAUGAUUGCCAGUACACAAAUCGCUUAUUGUUAUUCCUUUGUAAUUGGUGCAAUGAUUAUAUGAUGACUCUUGUCAUCAGAAAAUGCUAGUUACAUUUUCUCGAAAAGGAGUCUUGAUAAACGUCAGCAAUGUUGAGGCUCCGUGCAAGCACGUGAAAGUUCUCCUUUGUACAUAAUAUAUACGAUAGCGAUAUUAAACGAUAGCUAUAUAAUUCUAUACGAAUAGGAAGCGACUACAUUAGGAGUAGAUAUGCGUGUUUGUAUAGGUGCAAGAAAGAAAUAAGCGUUAGCAAAGAAGAAACCCCAUUAUUAUGGGGAAUUUUUCUUGAGAUGGCGGAAAUAUCCGCAUGAGAUUAUCAUUGUAUUUAUAUCGUAUACCUUCUUCCACACUCCUUUUUAUCCGCUGCCACGUGCAACUGCGUAAAAUAAAAGACUAAAAUGCAAUGGAAUGAUGUGUAGAUAUAAUGUUUUCCGCCAUGGAAUUCUCGAAACGGAUUUCUUACGAAGUGAGUGAAAUAGAGGUUAAAAUAGUAUUUGAAAUAAAUUAAUUUCUUAUUUUUUUUAUAGAAAAUAAAAAUUAAUUUUUUAUGAUCUUAUUAAUGAUAGUGAUUAUUUUUUGAUGUGGUAAUUUUCUUAAUUUGUAACUAUAACUAUAUAGAAAAAAUUAAUAUAAAUGAUUAAAUAAUAAUUUAUCUGAUUUGAUUUACUUUAUACUAUUUAUUACAAAUACUAUUGCCUCCAGAUUUGUGUGAAUUCUCGUUGGAUCGAGGCCAGUUUAAAAAAACAACUUAGUUAUUUAGAUUGUGCGAUUAAUCGCUAAUUUAAUUUCCCGCGUUUUUUGCAUCUGCGUUUCAUCGACGAUAUCUUCGGUUUCUUUUUGUGAAUUUUCUUUUCAUUUAUCUCUCGAUUCUAAUGAAUCAUAUAUCGCUCAAAAAUAUUUUUUGAUAAAUUAAAUUAUUGUCAAAAAAAAA
rnacentral:lncRNA from 1 species